GAUUUUGUUCUUGGAGGAAAGAGACAGUUUUUUCUCGACUCGUACAAAGGCUGAGUUUCCACGCCAAAGCAGAUGACAAUAAGAGUGUUUUACGAUAGUGCCCUUUUUCUUUUUGCCUGCGACUGUGGAAAACAGAGAGGGGUAAUUCGGGAAACGUAAUGAUUAGAUUUAUAUUAAGGUUACAACUAUUAUUAUUGGUUCUAUAGUAUGUUUCUUUGUUAAAAACAGUGGAGGUGACAUGUCAUUAGAAGUUUUGUCUUUAUUCCCUAAUAUUCAAAUUUCACUCACAUGCGUAAACCAAAAUAAUCAUGUUUUUUUUUUAUCUUUAAUUUGUAAGAUAUUGUUAAUACAUCAAUGGAUAGCAAAACCAAUCAGCUGCGGGCGGCUUUUACAUUUAACUAUUAAGAAAUAAGAAUUCUGUAUUUAUUUCUUAUUUAAAAUGAAAAUUAAAUUAAACUUAAGCUAAAAUAGGUACUGUAUGAAGUUUUAUUUCUUGUAUGUUGUAAAGAAAAAUCAAUAUAAGCGUAACUAAAAUAUUAAAUGCUACAACUGUUCAAUAAUUUUUGUGAGAAGAGAAGUACACAAGUCUUUUCUCUCGUUCCUCAAUUAAAAUAUCAACGUCUUGUCGUGCAAGUAAACAAUUCUUGGUUAGAGAUUCUUUUCUGAUAAGAUUGUUGGCGGUUGACAAACACCAAUGGUUUGGUUUAAUAUGCUAAAGUAAAGAAGGGCGUAAACAGUGUUUAACGAAACAGGUAGCAUCUACAAUAGUCGUAGUCUUGUUUAUUUAAAGUUUGCCUUGUUUGCGCAAGAGAACAUAAACAUAAACACACUCAUCAAGAAAUUAGGUUGUAAUACUUUUGUAACAGUUUUCUCGUGCUAAACUAGAAACGUUUGACAUAAAAAUUCCGCAAAGUUCUUUUUGUUUGUUUGUUUUAAUAAAGUAAUUGCAGAGUCACAACAUAUAAAUAUUUGAAUUUUUUCGAGAAAUUUAUUAAUCAAAAAGUAAAAAAUAACACUCGAGAUGUUUGAAAAAGUAAGA